GGGGUGUCUUCUGUGAAAACUUUUUUCGUGUGGGCAUACUUCUCCACACAGGCAAACAUAUCCAGGAAGUUCUGAGGAUAAAUCUUUAGUAACAACUUUUUAACGUCAUUCUUCAGUAGGUUGUCUAUUAUUGCGGCCAUCAUGAUCGACUGGUCUAGAUCGCAGACUUCCAAAGUCACCAUGUUAACAUGGUUGACGAAGAUGCGGAUGGACUCAUCCUCCCUCUGCUUGAUGGUGUGGAGGUAGUCAGAUAGCUUCUGCUGUCACUGACUACUGACAAAGUGA
rnacentral:lncRNA from 1 species